UUGUCGUGAAUUGAUUCUGCAAGUUUUUGUGAAGAAAGAAGGCAAACGGCGUCUCACGGACGUGGACACCAGGCGUCAGUUGUCAUCUUCCUCGCAUUCCAACAAAGAAACCGUCACAUGGAUAUUUACUUUUUAGAUACUUCUUGAUGGAUCACUUGCAGCUACCGUACCUUAUGACGAAAAAUACCUUAGAUACAUAACUUACAUACAGACUGCCUUCGACGAAAGGAAUAACGGAACAAUCUAUGAAAUGCACGAACUUCGAGAUGGAUACUCCUCGUUUAUGUCAACGGGCAGCGCAAUGUUGUAUCACACGUAUGAAUAUUUUGAAGCUGGUACCUAUUUUAGUGCUCGCUUAGAGAAGCCAGGUUUAAAGGACAUGCUACUAUACUUCGGCGAUAAAUUAUUAUAUAAAGGGCCCUAUACAUAUUGCAAUGUUGCUUUUUAUCGUGCUAUGUGCCAUCUGCACGAUCUUAAUGACCAACGCUUGCACGUAGCAGUGUCUGCUCAGCUUCCCGAGCACGCAACGGCUUUACUGGUCGUGGGGGAUCCGUACCACAUUUAUGACGUCAACGUGGUGAAUCUCAUUUCAUUUCAUUGUCUUAAAAUGCUGCCUCUGGAGAUAUCGACUGUGUC